rnacentral:precursor_RNA from 12 species
AACGGGGGAUUAGCAAGUGGUUCUUGGACUAAGUGGAGAAGUGGUCUCUUCACUUUGAUUUUAAGUGAGAUUCAACUCCUCCAACUUAUUUCAGCCACGGCAGACUUCUUCAGAAGACA